rnacentral:rRNA from 1 species
UACGUAGGGUGCAAGCGUUGUCCGGAAUUAUUGGGCGUAAAGAGCUCGUAGGCGGUGUGUCGCGUCGGCCGUGAAAACCUGCAGCUUAACUGUGGGCGUGCGGUCGAUACGGGCAUCACUGGAGUUCGGCAGGGGAGACUGGAAUUCCUGGUGUAGCGGUGAAAUGCGCAGAUAUCAGGAGGAACACCGGUGGCGAAGGCGGGUCUCUGGGCCGGAUACUGACGCUGGAGGAGCGAAAGCGUGGGGAGCGAACAGG